AGUGAACGCUGGCGGUAGGCCUAACACAUGCAAGUCGAACGGCAGCACAGAGGAGCUUGCUCUCUGGGUGGCGAGUGGCGGACGGGUGAGGAAUACAUCGGAAUCUACUUUUUCGUGGGGGAUAACGUAGGGAAACUUACGCUAAUACCGCAUACGACCUACGGGUGAAAGCAGGGGAUCUUCGGACCUUGCGCGAUUGAAUGAGCCGAUGUCGGAUUAGUUAGUUGGCGGGGUAAAGGCCAACCAAGGCGACGAUCCGUAGCUGGUCUGAGAGGAUGAUCAGCCACACUGGAACUGAGACACGGUCCAGACUCCUACGGGAGGCAGCAGUGGGGAAUAUUGGACAAUGGGCGCAAGCCUGAUCCAGCCAUACCGCGUGGGUGAAGAAGGCCUUCGGGUUGUAAAGCCCCUUUGUUGGGAAAGAAAUCCAGCUGGUUAAUACCCGGUUGGGAUGACGGUACCCAAAGAAUAAGCACCGGCUAACUUCGUGCCAGCCGCCGCGGUAA
rnacentral:rRNA from 1 species